rnacentral:rRNA from 1 species
GCGAAGCAUGAGCUGUGAUGGGGAAGGAAAUUAAGUACGGAAGUUCCUGAUUUCACGCUGUCAAGAAAAGCCUCUAGGAAGAGUAGUACUGCCCGUACCGCAAACCGACACAGGUAGAUGAGGAGAGAAUCCUAAGGUGAGCGAGAGAACUCUCGUUAAGGAACUCGGCAAAAUGACCCCGUAACUUCGGGAGAAGGGGUGCUCUAUUAGGGUGCAAGCCCGAGAGAGCCGCAGUGAAUAGGCCCAGGCGACUGUUUAGC